rnacentral:rRNA from 1 species
CACGUAGGGGGCGAGCGUUGUCCGGAUUCAUUGGGCGUAAAGGGCGCGCAGGCGGCCCGGAAAGUCGGAUGUGAAAACUCGAGGCUCAACCUCGAGCGUGCACCCGAUACUGCCGGGCUUGAGGCAGGUAGGGGAGAUCGGAAUUCCUGGUGUAGCGGUGAAAUGCGCAGAUAUCAGGAGGAACACCGGUGGCGAAGGCGGAUCUCUGGGCCUGUCCUGACGCUGAGGCGCGAAAGCUGGGGGAGCGAACAGG